AUUGAACGCUGGCGGCAGGCCUAACACAUGCAAGUCGAGCGGAUGAGUGGAGCUUGCUCCAUGAUUCAGCGGCGGACGGGUGAGUAAUGCCUAGGAAUCUGCCUGGUAGUGGGGGACAACGUUUCGAAAGGAACGCUAAUACCGCAUACGUCCUACGGGAGAAAGUGGGGGAUCUUCGGACCUCACGCUAUCAGAUGAGCCUAGGUCGGAUUAGCUAGUUGGUGAGGUAAAGGCUCACCAAGGCGACGAUCCGUAACUGGUCUGAGAGGAUGAUCAGUCACACUGGAACUGAGACACGGUCCAGACUCCUACGGGAGGCAGCAGUGGGGAAUAUUGGACAAUGGGCGAAAGCCUAAUCCAGCCAUGCCGCGUGUGUGAAGAAGGUCUUCGGAUUGUAAAGCACUUUAAGUUGGGAGGAAGGGCAGUAAGUUAAUACCUUGCUGUUUUGACGUUACCAACAGAAUAAGCACCGGCUAACUUCGUG
rnacentral:rRNA from 1 species